AACGAACGCUGGCGGCAUGCCUAACACAUGCAAGUCGAACGAGACCUUCGGGUCUAGUGGCGCACGGGUGCGUAACGCGUGGGAACCUGCCCUUAGGUUCGGAAUAACUCCCCGAAAGGGGUGCUAAUACCGGAUAAUGUCUUCGGACCAAGAUUUUUUGCCUUUGGAUGGGUCCGCGGUGGAUUAGGUUGUUGGUAGGGUAAAAGCCUACCAAGGCGACGAUUCAUAGCGGGUCUGAGGGGAUGAUCAGCCACACUGGGACUGAGACACGGCCCAGACUCCUACGGGAGGCAGCAGUGGGGAAUAUUGGACAAUGGGCGAAAGCCUGAUCCAGCAAUGCCGCGUGAGUGAUGAAGGCCUUAGGGUUGUAAAGCUCUUUUACCCGGGAUGAUAAUGACAGUACCGGGAGAAUAAGCUCCGGCUAACUCCGUG
rnacentral:rRNA from 1 species